rnacentral:tRNA from 1 species
CUAGCCUAGAGCAUAAUAUAAUAAGUAUAUCUUGAUUACAACAAGAAGGUUUUAGCCCUAA